AACGGCUGCUUUUGAUUCGCUGACAUCCCACCCUGUCUUUGUCUGCCUGCUGAAACGCUUUUUCGGGGCAGAGGGGGAGGAGGAUCCCGUCUCCUCAUCCACGGAGCCCAUACGCUUCCGUGAGAAAGGUGGUUCACCAGCUGGGACUGACAGAACCAGAACCAUUCAGUGUGUCCAGCUUCUCAUGGUUGGUCCAGAAGGCUCAAUAUCAGCACACCACCCCAGUACUGUUGCAAAUAAUACGACCAACAGGAGCAGAGAUCUGCAGACUGAUGGCUAAAAGACUGAAACCCAGUGACCUGCAAAAGAUCUCAGCAGGCCUGCCUCCUCUGGAUGUUAAAAUAGUCUGGCUGCAGAUGUGGAUUACAUUGACACUGUUCUGCACUGCAUAAUGGACAUGUGCCAACUUUCUACCUGGGUGAAAAUGUCAAAAACUGCAUCCUGCAAGCAACUGAAAACACAACAGGUUCUCCCAGCUGCAGCUUAGCUGAUCAGGAUCUGCAGACAUGAUCUUGACAUGAUCUCCUGAAGCAGGGUUAGCAGUUCUCACUCUGAAGCAGCUCCUACUUACGAGGAUGGACUCAGUCCUGUGGCUGGCUACUCCACAAAGCUGGACUGAAUGGCUGCAGGCCUCCCUGAAUGUCUCCAUGCUGUGGUUGCGGCAGAGAAAGAAGUCUGAGCCUUUACAGAUAAUGGAGAGUUUGCUGUCUCUUCAUAUCCUGUUCUCCUGUCUGGACCACUCCCCCCUCAUGUCUACAAAAACAGCAGAGCUGAUAGCCCUGAGUGCACCAUGUUACCUUGCUUUUGCUAAGUCGGUGAUCAUUUAUACUGACUCCAGGUACAGUGGGGAUCGAAAGUUGGGGCACCCCUGUUAAAAUGUUAUGUUUUUGUGCAUCAAGAAGCCAAGGAAAGAUUGAAAAAUGUCUUAAGGUAUCCGUUUACAAGUGAGACAUUAUUUUAACAUGUCAAAAAAAGCGGGCUUUAUUCCCGUUAUUUAAACUCUCAGAAUAACAGAAAACAAAAUAGUGAUGUGUGCAAAAGUUUGGGUCCCCUGCAGAGUUACUACCUUGUACUAACUCUGCAGGGGACAUGUAUCGCAGGGGGGAAGUAUCACAGCUUUAAAGGCUUUUUGUAUCCAGCCAAGAGUCUCUCAGUUCUUGUUUGCGGAAUCUUCAUCCAUUCUUCUUUACUAAAGUCUUCCAGAUCUCAGAGGCUUCUGGGAUGUCUGUUCCACUCUGCUCUGUUCAAGUCUAUCCAUAGAUGUUCAAUCAUGUUGAGGUGAUUGGGAAGGCCACUGCAAAACCUUCAGUUUCUGUCUCUUAAUGUAAGCCAGCGUGGAUUCUGAGGUGUGUCUAGAAUCAUUGUCAUCAAGAGAAGCCUUCCUCUCUUCAACUUUUUCACAGAUGCCAUCAAGUUAGUGUCCAGAAUCUGAGUACAGCAGGGGGCUUAGGACACAACCUUAGGGGCUCCAGUUCUGUGGAGGUGAUUGUCCACUCGUACUGCAUGAGGUCUGUCUUGAAGGAAGUUGGUGAUCCAUAAACACAGGGAUGGAUGGAUGAAGGCCCUAGAUCUCCAGCUUGCUAUUGAGGGUGGAGGGAAUUAUGGUGUUAAAUGUUGUUGAACUCUAAUCAACAAACAGCAUUUUGACUUAAUUCCCUUCUUGCUGUCUAAAUGGCUCAGGAUUAGGGGUGGGCAAUAUGACGAU